rnacentral:rRNA from 1 species
UACGUAGGGUGCGAGCGUUGUCCGGAAUUAUUGGGCGUAAAGGGCUCGUAGGCGGUCUGUCACGUCGGGAGUGAAAACUCAGGGCUUAACCCUGAGCCUGCUUCCGAUACGGGCAGACUAGAGGUAUGCAGGGGAGAACGGAAUUCCUGGUGUAGCGGUGAAAUGCGCAGAUAUCAGGAGGAACACCGGUGACGAAGGCGGUUCUCUGGGCAUUACCUGACGCUGAGGAGCGAAAGUGUGGGGAGCGAACAGG